UACGGAGGAUGCGAGCGUUAUCCGGAUUUACUGGGUGUAAAGGGAGCGUAGACGGUAUGGCAAGUCUGAUGUGAAAACCCGGGGCUCAACCCCGGCCCGCCGUUGAAACUGGCAGUCUCGAGUCGGAGAGAAGUAUGCGGAAUGCGUGGUGUAGCGGUGAAAUGCAUAGAUAUCACGCAGAACCCCGAUUGCGAAGGCAGCAUGCCGGCUUCCGACUGACGCUGAAGCACGAAAGCGUGGGGAUCGAACAGG
rnacentral:rRNA from 1 species